AUUGAACGCUGGCGGAAUGCUUUACACAUGCAAGUCGAACGGCAGCACGGACUUCGGUCUGGUGGCGAGUGGCGAACGGGUGAGUAAUAUAUCGGAACGUGCACAGUCGUGGGGGAUAACGUAGCGAAAGAUACGCUAAUACCGCAUACGAUCUAUGGAUGAAAGCGGGGGAUCGCAAGACCUCGCGCGAUUGGAGCGGCCGAUAUCAGAUUAGGUAGUUGGUGGGGUAAAGGCCCACCAAGCCAACGAUCUGUAGCUGGUCUGAGAGGACGACCAGCCACACUGGAACUGAGACACGGUCCAGAUUCCUACGGGAGGCAGCAGUGGGGAAUUUUGGACAGUGGGCGAAAGCCUGAUCCAGCCAUUCCGCGUGCAGGAUGAAGGCCCUCGGGUUGUAAACUGCUUUUGUACAGAACGAAAAGGUUUCUACUAAUACUAGGAGCUCAUGACGGUACCGUAAGAAUAAGCACCGGCUAACUACGUGCCAGCCGCCGCAGUAA
rnacentral:rRNA from 1 species